GGGGCGGCUGGGAGCGGGGAGCUGCGUGCCGCAAGUUUUGCCCGGAGUGCCAAAGUUGGGCUCGGCUCAGGUUCUUGGAAACUUGAGGAGCAAUCUUCAGUUCCUGAAGAAUGCAAUUCUCACAGGAUGUGUGUAUCCUACAUUGAAGAGAACAGAAGCAGGAUCAGCUGGUGUCCAGGAAAGACAACUUCAGGAGAUUCGGGAGCACUCUGGAGUGAACCAGGAGGAAGCCUUGAACUACAGUUGUGUCAAUGAGAGUGGCUGUCCUUGGGAGAUGCUGAAGCUCAGCUUUAUGGUGGACUUAUCUUUUGCCUCUCAACAUGUGCACAAAGGACUGAAUUUUGUUUGGGAUUCAUAUGGUAUGAAAGAGUCGUGGCUGUAUGGUUUCUUCCUCCUUUCACUUAAGUCUGUAUGUUUCCUGCAGUCAGUAAUGAAGUCUGUACAAGGUCUGCUGACAUUUGGUCUGCUUUCAAGAGCUCUGAGUGACAGGUACUGUAAACAUCCUACACUCUCAGCUGUGGAAACUAAGAAAGCUGGGAGAAGGCUGUUUACUCUCCCUGCCUUGGAAGUCAUCUGGAGGGUGAGGAUGGAACAUUGUGAGCUGUGUGUUCAUUGUAUUUCUGACAGCCUGUAUUUCUUAUUUUAUGUUUGGUGUCAGUAAACAAAUAAUAGCAUUAUAUCAUGCCAUCAGGCUCUUGCAUUCUGACUAAGGCUUGAACUCAUAAUAAUAAUUUUAAAAAGGUCCUUCUUUACAAUGUACUUACUUGCAGUCCUGGCUUGAUGGAAACUAAUGAUAGCAGUAACACGCAACAAGGCCUUCAUCCUUAAAUACUGGGUAAAGCAGACCUAUUUUACUGUUUGUUCACAAGUUAGUGUGCAUGUUUUCAGGUUCACACGUCAGUGGUGUAUUUUGUUCAAGUCUUCCUUAAAUGUUUGGAUCUUGUGUUCACUCAAUGUGUUUUCCUACCUAGAGGGACUAGAAACAGAUGUCUGAAGGCAAAAAAAGAGUUCUAGGGGAUUUCAAGUUUCUGUUCCUAUUUGAAGAAAUUGAGAUAUCAACCCCAAUUAGCUCGAUUUAGAAAUAAACUGAAUUAAAAAUGCAAAAGUAUUUAGCUUGGAUUUUAUACUGGCUCUUCUGUGCCACUUGCCAUCCAGACUAAAUUAUUUGUUGUACUUUUCUUGGCAAUUUUUCUUCCUUUUCUGGUUUCUUUCUAUUUCCCAUUAGUUAAGUAGGGCUUCUCAUUUUAAAUGCAGAAUAACUUUUUUCUUGAAUUUUAAAUCUAAAAUCCUACUGGUGUGGCCUAUAUCCUCAUAAAAUGUACUUUUACAGCUAUUCUUAAGCUGUGAUGUUGGCAGAAAUGCAAUGAUUCGUGCACUUUCUUUUUUUUUAGUUUAUUGGAGGGGGGCAUAUUUUGUGCUUUUGAAGUUUUUCAUAAUGCAGUUAAAUUCAAAGAUAACCUUUUUUGCUCUAUUAUCAUAUUUAAAUAUCUGCUACUUUAGAUUUUUAGUAAAGGUAUUUAAAGAAAAAGCUCUGAUAUGAAAUGUCCUAAAGGUUUUAAAUAAUUUGGGAAGUGAUGGAAAUGUGGAGAGAACAGCAGAAUGGUAGAUCUAGUAAGGUUUUGAAAUAGUACUUCUACAAAGUGGUCAAAAAAAGGAAUUUGAGCAGGCAGAUCUCUAAAGAAAAAAAGGGGGAAAAAGUCCAUGUUUUGAAGCAGUAAUUAUUAAGGAAAAGGAAAUGGAAGGGAAAAAAACUCAGGGUUCAGUAAAGUACUAUAGGCAGGAUUUAAGAUGAUGAGAUGAUGUCUGACUGUACAUAAGCACCAGUUCUUCAGGUUUAUGAGAUUUUGGCUCUUGAUAUGUCUAGCGAUACUAGAAGUGAGAGGUCAGUCUUAUAAAAAUAUGGUUUUGUGGAGAAAUAAGCUGUUGAGACUAGUGAAACGAUAGAGGGUAGCAUUUCCUAACAGACAUGGUUCCCUUGGCAGAGAUCUCCAAGAGUGAUGGAGCACAGAAUUGUAUCCUCAUCGCAGUCGAUAAUUCUGAUGGUAGGCUGUGCUGUUGAGAUCAGACAGUUUCUUGAAAGGAGGCAUCAGCUUUAAUGUGUUUUACUGUUUUUUAUUUUUAAUUUAGAUUUGCUUUAGGCUAGGAACUGUUAUUUUCUGUCAAAUAGAAAAAAACUUUGUUUAACGUUAUCUAUUUGUUGUCUAAUGAUGAAAUUCCAUCUUUGAUUUUAUCUGUGUAAGUUGGGACUGUUGAAGCCUUUCUCAUACAUUUUUCUUUGGCCAUUCUUUCCUGUGGCUUCACUUGUGCUGGUAUUCAUGUGUGCUUAAACUGUGAGCUUAGUUCAGUGGCUUGACUCAGCUGAAAAUUAAACAAGCAAACCAGCUUUUAUUUGGACCGUAUGAGAUAACAGCUUACUGCACUACUGUGAUGCUGUGACCAAAAUGCUAGUACCUUCAAAUAUGAUCACCUUUCUAAAGGGCCAGAACAGCUUUUCCUGUAAAUAAGGCCAUCAAAUCCUAAUGCAGUAAGCGGGUGAAAAUAAAGGAUUUUACAUGUUUUUGUAUUUGGCAGUAGAUUGUUCUAUUGGUGCUGUUUGAAAGCAAUUGCCAGCAUAGCGCGGAAAUAAAUUCAGAUUAAAUUAUUGUGAUUAAAGCUUUUGAUUUCUUGACAGCUAUUUAUGCUUCUGUGUCUUUGAAAGAUUUGUUUAUAAAGUGUAAUAAAAUAAUUGUGUUGGUAAUGAGGAGCUACUGGUAAUUUUGCUGCCUCCAGAUCUUUAAUUGUAAAGGUAUCCUUGGAUAUAUUUGCACCAGACAAAGCACUGUGUAAAUUGCAUUAUUUCUAGAUCAUGUUUUGCUUUUUUUCCACAGGUAUCACUUGCCAAGCCAAAGGCAAGCUAAAUAUUCUUUUCUAGCACGAAACUCAGAUUUCAAGGAGUUUAAGAUUCUUUCCAAUCAACGAAAUAUAGAACUUUCCUAUUGUGAAAGAACAUACAUGGCUUUUUCAAAACUCUAUUGCCACUAAUGAGUUUUGGAUUGGGUCUUUAGAGAGGAGGAAACAGUUCUGUUCCUGCUGCAGUUAAUAGGAAGUUCUUGUUGCUGCCUCCAUCCUGUUCUUGAGGUGCUGAAGUAAUACGGCAGAGCAAGGGAUGGUGAUCCUGGCUUUGGAGAGAACCUUUGUUUUCUCUUUUGUGAAAGAUAAUGAUGCUUUCUCUCAAGGUGGGUGUGGUAAAACAAAAAACAGAAAUCUUUUUGUGCUGAAACGGCUUGCCUAAAAUUGUAUCGUUGUGUCCUAGUUUGUCUUGUUAUGUUCCAGCCUUUCACUACGGUCUAGAGAGAAUGCAGUGCUUGAUUGUAUUACUGGGGAAAAAGCAAAGGACCUGACACCAGGUUAUCAUAUGUGUUGGUAAAGGCUCAUUCUUGUGCUGCUGGCAUGUUGACCUCUUACCAGGUCCAUGUUGGCGUGCAGCUCCUCUUGUAGUGAUAGUUCUGAGUGUGUACAUACAGGGCAGCCUGAGUUUGUCAUACCUAGGUCACUGGGGCUGUGCCCCAUCAACUGCAGCUUAGAUGUCAGCUCCAAGCUAGCCUCACCCCACUUGCUGACAUCCUGAGCAUGCUCUCAGACUGGGGUAGGGUUCAGGCCACCCUGCUGCAUCAUUGAGGUCAGCAGGACUAAACUCAGCACUAUUACCAGCUGAGGACUUCUGGACUUUGUGUCGUUUGAGGCCUUCCUCAAGUUGUUUCUUAGUAUCCUAAAGUACCACUGAAGAAAUACUGCUAAAACAACUCUGCACCAGUGGGGCAGUGAUGUUGAUGUAGACAAAUGAAAUAACUUAAGGAUCUGCAAAAUUCCUGUUCCUUAGUUGCCUCAGUGGAACUAUAAACUUCAUGAAUAGUUGAGUUUUGUGCAACUUGUCCAGCUUGCAGAUAUUUUUGGUGAGGAUGUUGAAAGGCCAUAAUCUCAUGCUUAGUUGAUGCAAUACAGGUGAAAUGCACACACUGACAGAUUUUCCUUCUCCUUGGUGCUUUCCACACUUACUGCUUUGACAUUAAUGGAGCUUCUAAUUAAGAUCUCGCAGCUUCAAUUCAUGCAAUUGAUGAAAUGCUCCAAUAUACUCUAUGUGCAGAUUGCAUAGAAAGGCACAUCAAAUCUAAAUGGAAACAGGUUGUAUCACCUUGUGGUAAUUGCAUGUAGCGUGCAGCUACUGAAAUCAGAUGUGACAAAAGCAGUUGUCUCUGUUGUCACUCAGAGCAGCUGUAGGUCACAGGGCACAGGUCUGUGGAAGCAGGGGUGACCAGGCCUGUCUGCUCCUUGACAAACGGUCUGAACUGUGUGCUCAUGGUAGUGCUCGCCAUUUUUAUGUCCAGAAUCUUGUCAAGCUGACUUUUAGGGACCCUGGCCCUUCUGAUUCCUGUGAUGUUGCCCUCUUGCCCCAGGAAAGGGCUUUCCUGAGAGAUGCUCUGCUCUUGCUUUGCUGUUUAAACAUCAGCCUCAUUUUGUGAUAGCUCUUGCUGAAGUUUGCACGCUAUCUGAAAGUCUUAGCUAGUAUCCAAACCGAGGCUGCUUGGUGGAGCUGAGCCCUAUUGCUGAUGCGAAUCUCUUUUCUGCUCUUUCCAGUGGCAAGCUUUAUUCUGAUGGUGUGUUCUUACCUGUGGUUUACCCAAUGUUUGUCUUUCCUGCAGAGCUGUGUGCCUGUUAGCUUAAAUGCUCCUCAGUGAGGCUUUGUUGUUCUCCAGCUCCGAGCUGAGAGCUAUGGAAACUGACUGCAGACUGACCCUGUAUUGUGGUAGGAAGGGAGCACAGCUAAACUCUGAGGACAAAAGAAAAUGAAUGGAAGGUAUAUAGUAAGGUUCUUCUGUGAGUUGUUGAGCUCUUCCAAAUCGGGGAAGAAAAGGAUUAAAAGUGAGGAAUAUUAAAGACAAAUCGAAGCUGAUGUUUGAACUACCAGUCCAGGAAACUCCAGAUACAAACUGAAUGGUAAGUUUUCCACUGAAGUCCGUAAAGAAUUUUUAAAGACAAAUCUGAAUGGAGAACAGCAAGGAUUUACAUCUUUGUGUACUGGAACGGAGUAAUUAUUGGCAGCUGGAAAAGAAAUUUCAGAUUCUAGGCAGUGGGAAAAAAAAAAGCUGGUCCAGGUCAGAGACUGGAGCUGAGUAGAUUUAAAGCCUUUAAGGGGUGAAUCUAAUGGUUUGGACACGUAUAAUAGAACGCAUUUGUGGAAAUGCUGAUACGGGAAAUGAAGUGUAUUAGUUAGGGCUUAAAAAUAUAUAUACCUGCAUUUAGAUUUUUUGAGUACGUUUUCAGGCUGGAACAAUGUCUGAAAAUAUCUCAAAUGCAUUGUUUGUGCUUCAGGUUGUAGUCAUUUAACUUUUGAGUCACAGGUUUUUUUGCUCUUUGUAAACCUCAGAGCACAUAUCCUGGUAGACUUGGUGUUAGGGCUGGACUUGUGUGUCCUUCAAGUGUUCCCCUCCUGCUGCAUUCCUUCCUGAACUUCUAAGGACCUCCACAAGUCUGGAUCCACUUCAGAUUAUCCUGAAAGAAAGGUGAAUGUAUGUGGCCAUCACCAGCAGGGUGAGGUCAUCUGCCUUAGCUUUCUAGGGUGAUUUUUAAUGUCUGAAUUUGGACCAGGACACCAAAAGAUACGUGCAGGGGAAGAAAGCUUCAUUUUAUUUCAGGCAGGAACAUUGACUUUUUUUGUUGAUUGUUUUCUAGGACUUAACCUAUAUAUGACCUCAUUCUGGGAAACAUGCUCAGAACAGUUUUCCAAAAAUCAUUUAAAAUAGAAUAAAAAAUCCAAAAUCAAAUUUACAACCAGUUUUAAUAGUAACAUACGGAUUUUAGGCAUAGACAAGUACUUGACAUUUUACUGAAAAUCAAAAAAGGAAAAAGGAAAAUGAUAAUAUAUAUUUAUAAAAUAAGUGAUGCACAGUGCAAGGGUUGACUGACCUGAGCGGUGUCUGGCUCUCCUGUCCAGCUCCUCUCUCCACGGUGUCACAAAGUAUGACAUUUUCCUUUGGUCCGUUCUCCUGCCUCCUGGAGACACCCUCCCAGCUCCUUGUGUCCCCCAGUCCUGCAGCCUCCCUUGCGGCAGGAGAGUAUGAGAACCUGGCAUGUCCUUGGCUCCAUACAGCAACAGCUAGAACGUUAGUGUGUUAUCAACACUGUAUUUAUCCUAAAGCUAAAACGUAGUAUCGUAUCAGACAGUGUGGAUAAAAAGUCAACCAGCUGAAACCAAGACAGUAGCAAUGAUACCAAAUGAUACAAAAGAAUAGGGUGAAGGAUGUGGGUGUCUGGACAGUUCUAGAAACAGGCCCAUGGAAAGACUUAACAGAAGCAAUCUGAGAAUGGCUUGGGUAGAGAGAAGGCUUGGGAAAUAAAGAAAACAUUCUCCAACAGGAAAAGCAGGAGGAGCUUAUGGAGGUGAUGUGCAGCUUCCUCAGUGAGGAGUCCCUACAGUGCCUGUGCAAAAAGACUUUGCUGCUAUCGCUGUUCUGGUACAGCAACAGUUUGCCUUUCUACUUUGGCACUCUGUCCAGAGAAAGCAAUCUAAGAUCCUUACCCAGAGAAUUAAAUCAAAUGUUUUCCUCAGUUUUCUGCAGGGCCCAGAGGGAGUGCUUGGGUCUGGCACCCCAUGCCACCCCUUCUGCCUGCCCUGUGGCCAUGUGUCAGUGCAGGGUGCGUCCUUUGGUUGCACUGCACUACACUGCCUCCAGGUAAAACUGAAAAUAAUAGAAGAGAAGGAUAUAGCAGUAACAGCUAAAUCUUUUUUGCAAUCCCAAACACAGAUACAGGUUGGGUGGAGAAUAGCCUGAGAGCAGCCCUGAGGAGAAGGAUUUGGGAGCGUCAAUUGAAAGCUUCAAUCUGAGCUGGCAAUGUGCACUUGCAGCCCAGAAGGCCAACCGUAUCCUGGGUCAUGUCAAGAGAAGUGUGACAGCAGGUCAAGGAAGGGGAUUCCGCUCCUCUACUCUGCUCUUGUGAGACCCCAUCUGGAGAACUGUGUCCAGUUCUGGAGCCCCCAGCAUAAGAAGGAUAUGGAUCUGUUGGAGCAGGUCCAGAGGAGAGCCAUGAAGGUGAUAAGAGGGCUGGAGCACCUCUCCUAGGUGCAGGAGAGCACCUGGGGCAGGCUGAAAGAUGGGGAAUCUUCAGCCUGGAUAAAAGAAAGCUCUGGGAAAAUGUUAUAGCAGCCUUCUGGAACCUGAAGGGAGCCUACAGGAAAGUUGGGGAGGGAUUCUUAUAAGGGCAUGUAGUUACAGGACAAGGGAAAAUGGUUUUAAACUGGAAGAGGGUAGAUUUAGAUUAGAUAUCGGGAAUGAAUUCUUUACUGCAAGGGUGGUGAGAUGCUGGAACAAGUUGCCCUGUUUUCUAAUUCAGGACCAUGUUGCUGGAAAAGCAGAAGUGAUUUUUCUGCUUUAGAUCAAUGUGAAUGCUGUAUGCUGCUUAACCUCCUUGUUCGUUUAGGAUUCAGGCCAUAGUUAAGGCAGUCUGAAAUGUUUUUGCAGCUAGCUAGUCCAUGAAGUACAGCACGUUUGGCCUAUUUUUGGAGUUUUUUGUUUGAGGCAGAGAUGUUUUCGACAGUUGCAUAAUGGACAGGACUUCUUUUUUUACAAUCCUCCUUGUGUGCCAGCAUCUGGUUACUGUAAUCUCGCUGCUGAUCAGCCUGUAGUUUUCAGAAACUUUCCUUUUAUUUAUUUUAUUUUAUUUUUUUGCCUGUCAUGUUCCCUGUUUUUGGAGGUGGGGAGAGGUGAGGCCUUCAAAACUGGCGGUAGCACAAAGCUGCUGUUUGCAUUUUUGUAGAGCCCUCUGGCCCCAAGCAGUACAGCUGACAGAGGCCUGCUACAUUUGCAUCUUGCAUUUUGCUGGCACUUUUCAAGUUAUUUUUGUCACCCUCUAAAUACCCUCUUUGCCCCCACUGUAUUCUAGAGGGUGUGUUAGAGAAGCAGCACCAAGGGACGAAAUGAUAUCAGACCAUCUUAGAUGGCUUUCUGUGGAAAGCAUUGGGACUCUGUGUCCCUUUGGUACAGGAAAGGAAAAUUUUUUAUUUGGAUAAGGCUUCAGAGAAUUUUAAAUGCUAGAGCUUUGGGAGAGUCUAUUUCACGUUUUCAUUUUGAUUAAAUUUAGAAUUGUUCAUUUUUUCUGUCAAAAUGUAUAUUUUUAGGCAAUGAAUUUGAUAUGCUGAGGAGAUGCAGAUCACUUCAUUUUCUGUGAUUCUUCCAAUGAAGGGUCAGGAGAAGGCAAGACUUGGUAGCUGGCGGUACAGGGAAGUCCUGGCUUGUCUGGCACUGCAAUAUUCCAUCCAUCUGCCCGGGAUUUCUGUCUGUGUUCAGCUCAGAUAAGCAACGUGACUGUGUUGAUUUCUGUCUGUAUCAGAGGGGAUUGCACUGGGCAGGUAUUUUGUAUUGUGCAUUGCUGCUGGCUUGUUUUCUUUUCAGUUGCUCUUUCAGAAGAUCUGAGCUCAGGAUAAACAUCCACUCUGCUGCUGAGUACUGUGCUUGGAGCCUUCAUACUAUGAUACUCAAGUGGAGUCACUCAGAGGAACAAGAUUGCUCUGUGAACAGACUCCUUCCUUCUGUGAGUAACAGGACCUCUGGAUGUGACUGCAGUGAUCCCAGCUGGCACAGAAACUGCUGUGAUGCUAAGAUGUGCCUUACUACGUGUUGGUUGGUACCAGCCUGCUGCCUGCCUCCCAGCACAGAGCUGCAUAGCACAGCAAGCUGUAUGAGGCUCUCCUUCCUCAGCAGCCCUCGCUGGUGCUCCUAUGGUUUGGGUGCUUGCGUGAGGAAGUGAGAGGAGUAUGAGGAGUGCUGCAUUCUGCUGGGUCACUGGUGCUGGGCGGAAACUCCAGCUCUAGUGGAGUGCAAGGCCUCAACAGUAUUUUUUAAUAUAUGUACAUCAGGAAACAAAGAGCCACCACUACCACUGAUAACAACAGUCUGUACCAAGUGCUCUGCACCAGUCAUCUGGCCACAGCCAAAGCCACAUUUAAAGCAAGGCAGUGUCUGUGGAAGAGCUAACAUUGAUUUAACAAAGCGAUGCCAGAGGGAACAAGUUAGAAGAAAUGUUUCCAUGGCUGUUGGUUUCUUUCCUUUCUUUUUCCUACGUCUUCCUAUUACUUUUUUCAUCUUCAAUUCAUACUUAAACCCUCCCAACCUUUCUGAGAGUCAGAAGAGUGGUUCUAAGAGUCAGGAGCCUCUCAGAAAAGGUCAGACAACCCAACUGCACAGUAUUCUGAUUUUCCCAUGGGCCUUCCACUAGUACUGGCACUCAGUCAAAGCAAACAUGUAUUCUAUCUGUCAGAAGCAAGCUUUAAAGCUUGGUGAUGUGUCUAUAGCUUAAGGUACUUGUACUUUUUUUAUGUAUACAGGUUUUAUAUCUCUCCCUUAAAUAUAAGCUGGCUUUCAUUUUCCUUUAUGAGCCUGAUCAUUUUUCUAUACUUUUCAAUGAGAAUUGCAUCGGGCUUCUCACUGCCUUUUACAGGGCAGCAUUGAUCUCUCUCCAUUUUGGAGGGAGCUGAAUGAUUUUGUCUAACUAGAGGAUCUUAUCCUUUGUGUUUACAGUUCAUUUCAGGAUAUCUUUCAGUAUGACUGAUAUAAAUGCUAAUUGUGGGUGGGCUAGGUGUUAGGGGACUUGUGCAGUCUUGCAGUUUAUGUAUAGGCAAUAUAUUGCUCUUCCUAAGGUUAAUAACAACUGAUUUUUGUUGUAUUGCUCUUCUGAGAGAGUAACUCAAUUAUUAAUUUUUAGUUGCACAUGCAGGCAGAAUCCUGUUUGUUUCACAAAAUGCAAAUAAAUGCUCUGAGGGCUAACUGCAGGAGUUUCUGCAUAAGCUACAGCUUAACUCCAUAGAACAUCACCCCAUAGCUCACCCAGGAACUGAGUGGGUCAUCAAACCCAGUGUGUAUUCUCAACCCCACCUUUCUAAAAGCACCUCAGCUUGCAGGAUGCCUUCUCCCACGUGGGCUCAUGGUGUCUCAAGCUGCCCAGUUAGUGUGCUGGGUACCACGGAGUUUUAAUGACCUUCCUCAUCUGUCUGCAUGUCCUCCCUUAAGUUAUAUGGAAGCUCAGAUGUGUUCUCUACUGGUGUCCUUGACAUGGGCUAAAAUGGAGGACAGAACCUCCUGAGAGUUUCUAAUAGUGUGGUGGUCUGACAACUCAAAUGAUUUUGGUGACUCAUAAGGAGGCACAAAGGCCACCUUUUUUUCUGACUGAAAAUCAGAUGGCAAAACCCAAUAAAUUAGGCCUGAAAGAACUGAAAAACCUCUCUUUAGUUACCUGGGAAGGCGAAAAGGAAGAGGAUCAAUGUAUUCACUACAAAAGCAUCACAAAGUUUCCUUUCUGUCCUGUCAUCCAUAGUGUCUUCAAAAACACUUCUUCCUGAGACAGAGCUUGAACUGGUUCUUUUUCAUCUUCAGCCCUUUACGCUAUUACAACUAAUCCCCAGUGGAAAUAUUUCUUUUCCUUUCAUUACUUUUUGUGCAAAUAUUUAUACAGUUAUCUUGCUUGUUUCCUUUAAUUCGUAUACCUUUAGACCAAAUAAAUUUAGUUCUUGUCAUCUUACUUUCAAGGUUGUAUUUUUAAGUAAUAAAGCAACGUUAAAUAUAGUUGGAAACAGACAACAUAAUGCACCUAAGAUUUCACAGUAAUUCAGGCUUUUGGAGACAAUAGUGUCCAUUUGACUAAGACCAGCAAUACAGUGUUAUGAAUUAGUCCCUUGUCAGGAGUUUUUGAGCAUUUGAAAUAAUAACUGUUUUUUAAAAUGAUUUACGUGUUUGUGGUGUAAAAGCCUAUCUUUGAGAUCGCGUGUAAACUCUUCAACCUGUUUUAACAGUCAUUACAGUGAGAACUUAGAUAUUUAAUUUCUAAACACUGAAUUAAUUUUUCUUUUAUCUUGUUUAAGCACCGUGCAAUAACUUGGAAACUCUUGUGACAUCUGACAAGGGACUUCACAGUGCCUGAUGGAACCUGUUGCAUGCUCCCUCACAUCCUGCUCUGGCAACGGUAACACCAUUCAUCCUCCAGCUAGUGGGGCUGGGAGGAAGUCCAGGUUUAUUGCUCUUUCCUGGGGGGCUGGAAGGUUCAGGAAAUUAUGGGAUUUAGAGAUUCUUAACUUCUGAGACAUUUGCUUCAACUGCUCGUAACUGAGAAAUUCAAUGUGCCGCAUUCAUAUUUCCAAUGGUUUGACCAGUCAUUUGAGCUUUGCAAACUCACGCUCUUGGCUCUAAGCACUGGAUAUUUUAAAGCAGGCUCAUAAUGAGUGAUAGGAAGCUACCUUUUCCAGGUGACACUCUAGACACUUUUUGCCUAUGUACUUAGUUAAAUUUACCAAGCAAGUAAGCAAUAAAAUAAGGUCCAUAGAGGUAUAUAAAACCAGAGUUGCUUGGAUUUACUGCCAAGAGUUGCAUGAUGAGUAUGAUUAAGAGGCACUUUAUGCUGACUUUCUAAUAAUUCUCUGCUAAAAUAUGUACUUCAGACAGUUUUGUCAGCUUUAUUGUUACUUUCUAAUUUUGGUCUAAAGAUUUUUAUCAGAUACGAUUUUUCCCUUUAGGGAUUAUAGGAUGCGUAAAUUUUUGAUGAUGAGAGAGUUCCUGUGAUUCAUUCCAGGACUCCAGUGUUUAAGAUGAAGCUCCUCACCACUGUCUGUAGGAAGUGUUGUUUUUCACUCACUCUGAAUUCUUUUCUUGAAUCUUCAAAUCUUCAGGUUUUUUUUAAUAUUAUUUAUCAUAUAGAAAAAAAAUCCUUUAUGUUUGAGAUCAGGGGUCUGUAUCCUAGUGUGAAUAAAGGAAGUAUUAUUCUUUUCAUUAUUGGAAAGAAAUGGAGCUGAAUUCAUAUAAUUUUGCUCGUAUUACCACUGAGUUCAGACUGUGAUUGUGCUGAAAGAAUGUAGAAACUGAGGUCAUCUUUGGAAACCUACUGCCCCAAAACUAAACAUAUUAUGUUAUCUUCAUUUUCAUUAUGAAAAUUAUUUCAGUCUUAUUUUUUAAAAUAAAUAUUAAAAUUGUAUCCAUCUUAGCCAUGAGUCAAAUGUGUUUUGGACUUGACUCACUUGCCCAGCGUAAGUGUUACUGCUCUCAGUCUGUCUGGAUUCUUGCUUUGGUCCAAAAGGGCACCAGUGACUCAUAACUCCAGUGUCACACCAUCUGGACCUGCAUAGAUAGAACUACAUCAAACCACACCUCUAAUGCCUAAGAGGACCUUGAAGAAAAAUAAAAUAGAAAACUAAACUUCGCUGUUUCUUGGAAACAGUAGGGUGAAAACUCAUCAAAUUUUUUCUUGUAAAAUAUUUUGACUUUCCAGUAACAGCCUACAGAGGCAACAUGAAUCUACGGGCUCAAUUCAGAUCCAUAAGCACAGGUGUCCAGUUAUUUACUAGCAAUCCUGCCUGACUUCCUCAAUCCUAUCUGCUAACCUUGUAAACACAUUCUGGUUGCAUAAAUGCCUGCCCUUUGUCAAGAUGAAUCUAUAGGCUCUUUGUCUGUGUCCUGGCUUUGGGGGAAGUUGCCCACUCAGCUAUCAGACAGAAGCAGUUUGGUGUCCAGUGCAAAGAUAUGCUCAUGCAGUUCUCCUGGCUGCCAGAUACAACUCCAAAGGAUGAGAGUGUUGCAAAAAAAUGUUGUGCCAGGACAUCUGAGAUAUUUCUGCCUGGUAGCAGUCCAUUCCACCUUCAAAAAACUGUAUCUGGUAAGGGAUGGGACUCAUUUUACCUAACUGUAGAGAAGCUACAGUCUUUGCCAGUUUACAUUGGGAGUCUAGAUUCCUAGUUUAGAAAUAUAGGCACUUUGAAAUGGGUUUUGUGAUGAGGAGCUGCUUAGGAUGAGUGAGGUGAUGCUACCUGCUUCUUACUUGUGAUUGAAGAAGAAACCUAGGUGACUAAUUCAAAUUGUAGCCGUAGAGGGUAUAUCUACACUGGGUAAGGAAAACCAUAAUGAGCCUGCAAGAGAGCACAAGGGCACAGCCAGGUAUGGCUUUAGUACACGACCACUGAAAAUAGGAAUGUAGCUUUGCUGCUGUAUUCAGGUCCAAAGCCAUGCCUUGGGGUGGUUGUGGCUAGGCUGUUGGCUGUAGGGUAUACAGCCCUUGGAAAACAGCACAGCAGGUAAACUCCACUGCAACACUCACCACAUGGACCAAGCUAUGGAUCACCAAACUAUCCCAUCUUGUUUCAAAAACGCACAUUAAUUCGCUCAGUGGCUGUCAAAAAUUCUAUGAAGUUCAGUGUGGAUUUGCUUAAAUAUUUACCCUUUUUCUCAGUGUUUUUCUGUUUGCUUUGUUUUGUUUUGGUGGGACUUGCCAAAUUCCACGUUCUUGCUGCACUUUAGGAGUAUUUAUGAUCGUUAGCUCUAGAGUUAACAUGUUCUUUUCUGGGAGGGUUGUGCUAGGCCUGCAGUAGACAUACUUCCUUCUCAGGGAGCCUUCGUGUCUCUUUAGAAAUCCUCAGGUCAUACUGAAGACGCUCAUUUCCUCUUUGUGGCAAUAGAAAUUCCCCAGGGAAAGUCCCGGGGCACUUGCCCUGAGCUGUCAAACUAAAAACACAGCACUGCUUCCUCUGAGUACAUGAUGAACUUCAUAGUUGUGUGAUGGUCUACAAGCUGACUCAUUUUUCUAUUCCCUUUGUCUUCGCUUCAUUCUAUGAUAGUUAUAUAUAUAUAUGUGGACAUAUACAUACGCAUACAUACUGUAAUUGGGAACGUGGAUGGGCUAUGCACCUAGUUGUAUUUCAGAAAGCUAAAAUUAGGCUUUUGGUGUUAAAACUGUAUCCAUGCCCUGAGUUGUGGUUCAGCUUUCCUUUCUCACUGUUUCCUUAGUAACCAUAGUUACUGCACCUUAAUUACUGCGAGCUUAUUUCUCUGAGAUUCCUUCUUUUACAAUUACUGGUGUAAUUUCUUACAAAUUCCAGCAGAAACCCCCCACAAUGAACACCCCAUUUCUUCCUCUGGCCUCGAUCCCUUUCCUGGCCUAACUGUUCCACCCGUAAAUAAAACCUGCCCCAGUUUGCUUUGUGAUUGGUUUCCCACCAAACAAAAUUGGUUAGUCACCAAUUUACCUGUACUCCUUUUGGUUGAUGAGAGCACCUGAUGCCACCUGUGUCUAAUCUAAAGAAAAUAACUCGUGCUCCUGGCUCCUGCUGAGUAUGGUGAUGCUCAGCAGUAAAGCUUAGAAGAUUGAUUAUCCUGAAUCAUUUUCACCAGCUACCAGAGCUGCUAGUAUUUUUUUUUUAAUAUAUACUUGCAGUGCUUCUCUUCUUAAAAAGUAUGCAAGGAUUUCAGGUCUUUGGCUAGCAGGGGAGCAUAAAUCAUCAUAGACACCGUGAUGCUGAUGAUUUGUAUUCUUGUAGCCCCUAUUCCAUAGUCCUGAACAGCUACAAAAUAAAAGGCAUUCCCUUGUCCCAGAUGAUAGAUAAUCUUGGCAUAGAAGAAGGAAAAUAGCAGAUGGAUAGAGAUGCAUGGGGGAAUACAGUCGGUCUGGGUCAGGAUGGUGCCUGUCUAACUGCAGUUGAAUUUUUAAGGCUUUAUGACUGGAUCAUUUCAAAGGAGAGAUACAACAUAAAGAUGACUGUUAUUGUGCUAUCAUAAAAGAAAAGGAGGAACAUUUUGUAAUAUAUCUAAUAAGUAAUGAAAGUCUUUCCUUUUUUGUGUGAUACCUGUUUACACUGCGGACUUCUACAUGAAUAAAUCACUGCUGUAGUUGUCACAAUCCAAACCAGUGCACUGCCAUAAAAACAAAAGCUAGACCACAACACUUUAUUAUUAUUAUUGUUAUUAAUUUUGAUAUAGAACAUGGCUGUCAAAAAUGUUCUGGCUAGGUGAGCAGAAUUCAGUUUAAGAUUGAUGCCUUAGUGCAGGUGCCUAUAGCUCUUCCUACUGCUGCAUAUUCCCAUUUCAGUGAGCAUAGAGGGCAUUGGCUGAACAGCCAUCAGCUGUCUGAACAGCCAUCAGCUGUCUGCUAUGCAGUGAGUCCAAUCAUUCUUAGGCUCCCUGAGCUGCAUUAGUUGGGUUGUCACUGAGUAUAACAGAGCUUGUUGGUUAGAUUUCCCACUAAGUUCUUGGAACUUGGAGGCACAGCCUAAAUUUCCAACAUGUUCCAUCCUUUUGCCAUCUUUUAAGUGCUCUGCUCAAAUGUAUCUGCUCAAUCUGAAGUCUCCAGGUUGGCCAAUAGAUCAUGCUUUUUAGAUGUAGGUUUACUGUAAGACUGGUAUCAUAUCUUGCUAUACUGAACAUCUCUGAUUCCUCUGAAUACCACAGACAUCACCAGACAUCAGAGUUAGGGUGACUAAUUCAGUUGUCCUUGCUCUUUAAUGCUUAAGAAGCCUGCUCAGAUCCUGCCAAUAUGAUGUACAUCUUCAUGUUGGUAAUCUCAAAAGCUGGUAUAUGAGCAGUGGCUAAAGGAUAACUUGGUAACUAUCUCUUUCCUAGUGUUGGAGGAAUGCUCAGCCUAGAUCUGUACAGGGGUAGCAUCCCAUUAGGGACAAAGAAUUUGAUGUGGGAGUGAAAGAAAGCUAGUAGGCAGAGAUCCUACACAGCACGUUCUCAGUCAAACGCUUUAGGUUGCCAUGGCUUUUACUACAAUCCACUGUCAGUGCUGUAUUCUUAUUUUGAAUGUCUUGUCAUGCACAUCACAUGAACUGAUCGCUGUCUCUGCACUCUGUACCAGUGACUCAGCUCAGCAGGGAGCAGAUACAGCAGGAGCUACUCAUCAGGUAACUGUGAGUGGCAUCACUGCUACAGGGAUGCAGUAUGCUUUCUGCAGACUGGAUGCAAACCUUCCCCUGACACCAGGCAAACCCACGAGCUGCCAGACUCUGUGGUUUGUGCCCUCAUGACAGGGCUGUGGUGUUGAUGUGCCUUUCACUUGGUGUAGUACUGCACAGGCCGGGUGCACCUCACGGAUCUAUGGUGAUAUCUAACAAGCACACAAGGGCAACCUUAGGGCCAGGAAACUAACAGAUCCAUGCUUUGGUCCUGCAUCUUGUGCAUACAGCCCACUGAGGUGAAGACACACCAUUUUCUCAGUGUUACCGAUCUCAUCUACCCUUCUUCACUCUCUAUGCUCACUUUCCACUUUAUUUUGUUGCAUUUUGCAUUUAGUUUUGUAGCUAGACAAUGGUGCUGGGCUCAUACACGCUAUCUGACUUGCACCAGUGCUAACACGAGCUGAUCUGAAGUGAAUUACUCAAGGUCAGGGAUUUAGCUUGCUUCCUAUGGUUUUGUACACGGGGCUGUACAAUAAGUCCUUGACUGGGACAAGCAACUUGCUUUAAUACAAGAGAAAAAGACAUUUAUUUGCAAGGAGAGCAAGACUGAUGCUGCUGUUCUGAAAAGCAGGCAUAAGGAAGGAUGUAAAUUUUUGUUCAUGUCUAAACUGUAUGAUUUUCUCUAUAUUGUUAUAUUGAUUAGCUUUGCUAGCCUUCUCCAUUCUCAGAGGAGAUAAAUGCUUGCAGUAGAAGAAUUCUUGGUUAUUUCAGGAUACACCUCUUUUACAAAUGAAAAGAAGUGUUAGAGAAUGAAGCAGCAGCACUGCAUCAGUGUAUGAAACUGCAUUACAUGCAGAGACAUCCACAGAGGACCAGAACUGUCUGUGUUGGUUUGUUGCCAUGCAGAGAAGCCACAAUUAUAUGAAUCUAUUAUUUUACUGAAGUGGAAAUAGGAAUACUUUUCAACCAAAGAUUACAAAGAUUGCUUUUAAAUGUCAGUUUUUAAAGGAUAUUAGCUAUUAAGAGAUGUAUUGGAUAGUGUCCCCUUCAUUUUGAGUAUAGCUUGCAAAAAUAAAAAUGUAGUGGCUCCUCAUGGCAGGCUGUAUUUAGACUUUGAGGUGGUUUUGUGCUCACUCAGAAAGUCAGUACAAAGCUUUAAUUUUUUUAAAGUGCAGGGCUGCAGUGAUUCUACAUGAAUUCCUUUCCAUACUACACCUGUUUUACAGAGCAGACCACUUGUGAGGUUUCUGACAUAUACCUAAUUCGGGGGGAGGGGGGGG